rnacentral:rRNA from 1 species
UGUGGUGGUGGGGCGGGAGGAGGUGGUGGGAUUGGGGAGGCGGGGGUGUGCGGAGGGACGUAAGGGGGUUACCGCCGGUAAUGGUGGUGUUGGCGCAGGAGGAGCAAGGAGGUGGCAGCAUAGAGGAGCAGAGGUCGUUGUUGGUGGUGGGGCGCAUCGGUGGACCAAAAGAAGGUGCGGGCGUUGGCCACGGUGAUGUCCGAGUGGACGGCACGGUGGCUACACAGGCCCCGGCUCGGGAGCCGCGGUGGUCUCUGGCCUCCCCCGUCGUCGACCAAUGGCCACCACGGCGACCGCCGCGAGGGCGCCCCUCUCGCGGCACACUAGCAUGUCCUGCCCCUCCUCUAGGACGAAGAGACCAUGUUCCUACUCCAGAAGCGGUAACUCUUGGCGAGGGGUCGGCUCCCGCGCAUGUGGCUCCCGGAGGAGUUGCGGUUCGAGUGCGUCCUACCGACGUAACAAACGGGUAGUUGUCUAUCAUGGAAACUAGAAGCGUGACCCCUUUAUUUUCUCACCAUAGGCUUUUUGGGACAAAAUUCCCGAGACUGUGGACAUAACUCUUUUGAUAAGCACAUGGGACGUUUUUGCCUACCUCUUUUAUAUAUGUAGUCGUAAUCCCCGCGACGAUCGAGACCACCUAGUCGACUCUAAGACAAGUCGCCCUUUCGAGUUGGUCCCUCAUGACGUAGACUACAGUUGUAGCUUCUCCACUCUUACCACCAACUACUUCCACAUCCCCCAAAACCAAAGUGACGAAUGUUACUUGACCAGUUGCCUUUUCGACGGUAUUAACCGAAAGAUAACAACUAUCUAAAACUUGAAAAUUGACCAUUUCCGGAAGAGUUCCCCUGACCAGAUAACCUGAAGUAGAUACGUUAAAGUUCUCGAAAGUCGAGCAUUUCUACAAAAGACAAAUCACACCUCACAAUAGUUCCAUAUAGUGAUGAGUACAUUUAGAUCUAAAACAAAUGUAUGUCAACUCAUGUGCUCGCUAACAUUCACUUGUAAUACAAACGGGUGUUUCAUUCCUUAUGUUCUAUUGAAGAAGAUGAGUGUGAGAACCUAGAAAGACUAGCAGGUAUUUGGGGUUUUACUCCAAUAUCCAAUUCGUUCUUUUUCCCGAAGCCCGAAGAGAAUAUUAGCCAUUAUUUGAGUGAAAACGUAAUGGACCAACCCCAAGUACACUCAAAGUUCUAGUACACUCACUCUUUUAACUACAAUUCCUUUGGUUCUUUCAUCUAACGCACAUACUGUACCCUUUGUUGUUUCGACUACCAUGGUCCUUGUUGAAAAAACAAAUAAAAGGAAAUAAAUUUAGACUAGUGUUUCUAUGAAAACUUUCGGUCUAUGAUACCCCUCUUUCAUGGUAUAGUACAUAAUGUUUAAAUUGAAGAGAAUCGUUAAAACAAAAAACGACAUAUACAGAGAACUUGGAGCACCAUAACUUCCAAUGGGUUUGAAUUAGGAUUUUAGAGUGGAAAACAUUCUAUCCAGGAAAAAUGGGGAAAAAACUAUUUCAAUCUAUCCUUGGUGUUUUACUCAAACAAAAUUGAUAAACUCGAAGUUUUGUUAGAGUAGAAUCCUAAAAUCCUAAUUCAAACCCGGGAUAGAAUGUUUUCACGACUUCGAAGAAGCAAAGGUAGGGGUCGUAAGAGAAACACGGUCAUAACGAGGGACAAUCGUAUGCCUCGAGUAACGAAGGUCAAAGACCGAAGUCUUUAGGGUAAAAGGACGCCAACCGGCAUAGAGUCUACUCUAGUAACUCACCAAAUACAGUUUUCUUCUACUCUUCUAAAAUCUAGAUCCAAAGACGAACAAAUUAAAAGCCUAAAUAAGUGAGCUUGGACUUUCUUCACCAAAUAAGUGAGUUUGUGAAGAAAGGCCUAGCUCACUUAUUGUUCUAUAACGACGAACAAUAGUAGUACAUUCCUCAUGUUGUUAUGACAUAAUAAAGGCCGCACUUCAAAUCACCUCGUUAGACGACAAGAGGAGUCCGGUCAUUUAGACCAAACAGUGACAGUCGACUAACAAACCAAAACCUCAUCAUGAAUACAUGUCUCGUAAGCCGACGGUCCGGCCAAUAUAACGGUCAACUUUAGAUGGAUGUAAUAGUUGCCCCGCUACCAACACACGUAGUAGCUACGUCUUCGUCC